CCCUUAGAUGUUCUGGGCCGCACGCGUGCUACACUGAGUGGAUCAGCGGGUCAGGUUGCGCGAAAGCGUUUCCUAAUCUUUAAAUCCGCUCGUGAUGGGGAUUGACGGUUGCAAUUUUUUGUCAUGAACGAGGAAUACCUUGUAAGCGCGGGUCAUCAUCCCGCGCUGAAUACGUCCCUGCCCUUUGUACACACCGCCCGUCGCACCUACCGAUUGAGUGGUCCGGUGAGGCUUUGGGAUCUGAGCGGAAAGAGCGUUUCGCUGUUUCUGCCCGGAAAACUCAGUCGAACCUUAUCAUUUAGAGGAAGGAGAAGUCGUAACA
rnacentral:rRNA from 1 species